rnacentral:rRNA from 1 species
UACGUAGGGGGCAAGCGUUGUCCGGAAUCAUUGGGCGUAAAGGGUCCGCAGGUGGCAAUGUGUGUCUGCUGUCAAAGAAUGAGGCUUAACCUCAUCAAGGCAGUGGAAACUACAUAGCUAGAGUACGGUCGGGGUAGAAGGAAUUCCUGGUGUAGCGGUGAAAUGCGUAGAGAUCAGGAAGAACACCGGUGGCGAAAGCGUUCUGCUAGACCUGUACUGACACUGAGGGACGAAAGCUAGGGGAGCGAAUGGG